ACGAAGAGUUUGAUCCUGGCUUAGAACUAACGCUGGCAGUGCGUCUUAAGCAUGCAAGUCAGACGGAAUGUAGUAAUACAUUCAGUGGCGAACGGGUGAGUAACGCGUGGAUAAUCUACCUACGAGAUGGGGAUAACUAUUAGAAAUAGUAGCUAAUACCGAAUAAAGUCAAUUAAGAUGUUAGUUGAUGAAAGGAAGCCUUUAAAGCUUCGCUUGUAGAUGAGUCUGCGUCUUAUUAGCUAGUUGGUGGGAUAAGAGCCUACCAAGGCUAUGAUAAGUAACCGGCCUGAGAGGGUGAUCGGUCACACUGGAACUGAGAUACGGUCCAGACUCCUACGGGAGGCAGCAGCUAAGAAUCUUCCGCAAUGGGCGAAAGCCUGACGGAGCGACACUGCGUGAACGAAGAAGGUCGAAAGAUUGUAAAGUUCUUUUAUAAGUGAGGAAUAAGCUUUGUAGGAAAUGACAAAGCGAUGACGUUAAUUUAUGAAUAAGCCCCGGCUAAUUACGUGCCAGCAGCCGCGGUAAUACGUAAGGGGCGAGCGUUGUUCGGGAUCAUUGGGCGUAAAGGGUGAGUAGGCGGAUAUGCAAGUCUAUGUGUAAAAUACCACAGCUCAACUGUGGAACUAUGCUGGAAACUGCAUGACUAGAGUCUGAUAGGGGAAGUUAGAAUUCCUGGUGUAAGGGUGGAAUCUGUUGAUAUCAGGAAGAAUACCAGAGGCGAAGGCGAACUUCUAGGUCAAGACUGACGCUGAGUCACGAAAGCGUAGGGAGCAAACAGGAUUAGAUACCCUGGUAGUCUACGCUGUAAACGAUGCACACUUGGUGUUAAUCGAAAGGUUAGUACCGAAGCUAACGUGUUAAGUGUGCCGCCUGGGGAGUAUGUUCGCAAGAAUGAAACUCAAAGGAAUUGACGGGGGCCCGCACAAGCGGUGGAGCAUGUGGUUUAAUUCGAUGAUACGCGAGGAACCUUACCAGGGCUUGACAUAUACAGGAUAUAGUUAGAGAUAACUAUUCCCCGUUUGGGGUCUGUAUACAGGUGCUGCAUGGUUGUCGUCAGCUCGUGCCGUGAGGUGUUGGGUUAAGUCCCGCAACGAGCGCAACCCUUGUUGUCUGUUACCAGCAUGUAAAGAUGGGGACUCAGACGAGACUGCCGGUGAUAAGCCGGAGGAAGGUGAGGAUGACGUCAAAUCAUCAUGGCCCUUAUGUCCUGGGCUACACACGUGCUACAAUGGCCUGUACAAAGCGAUGCGAAACAGUGAUGUGAAGCAAAACGCAGAAAGCAGGUCUCAGUCCAGAUUGAAGUCUGAAACUCGGCUUCAUGAAGUUGGAAUCGCUAGUAAUCGUAUAUCAGAAUGAUACGGUGAAUACGUUCUCGGGCCUUGUACACACCGCCCGUCACACCACCCGAGUUGAAGAUACCCGAAGCUAUUAUUCUAACCCGCAAGGGAGGAAGGUAUCUAAGGUAUGUUUAGUGAGGGGGGUGAAGUCGUAACAAGGUAGCCGUACUGGAAAGUGUGGCUGGAUCACCUCCUU
rnacentral:rRNA from 1 species